rfam:Catenulispora acidiphila DSM 44928, complete genome.
UACGGCCGCCAUAGCGGUGGGGAAACGCCCGGUCCCAUUCCGAACCCGGAAGCUAAGCCCGCCAGCGCCGAUGGUACUGCCAGGGGGACCUGGUGGGAGAGUAGGACGCGGCCGGAC